CGAUGGCAGAUGAUCGCUGGCGGGCAGCAAUGUUCGCGAGAGGAAAGUCCGAACACCAUACGGCAGCAUGCCGCGGAAAACACGCGGGCGUCGCAGUUGAAAGAUUGCGGUGACGGAAAGUGUCACAGAAAACAUACCGCCGGUUCUUUGGCAACGAAGUGCAGGCAAGGGUGAAAAGGCGAGGUAAGAGCUCACCGCUCGCGGAGCGAUCCGCGAGGCACGAAAAACCCCAUGCGGUGCAAGACAGAACAGAGGUAGGACAGCCGGUCCGUUGAUCCUCGGGUAUCGUCGCAUCACGCCGCGCGCAAGCGCGGCGGGCGGCUCACGCAAGUGAGUUCGAGAUAAAUGAUCAUCCACCGGAGAAAUUCGGGAGACAGAAUUCGGCUUAUCGCCAUCGAAAU
rnacentral:RNase_P_RNA from 1 species